GUGCAGGGGCAGCGCCGGGCUGCCUGCGUGGUUAGCACCACAGUGACUCAGCGGAGGAGACCAGCGGCGGUAGGAAAGGAGCUGCCGAUGUAUUUAAGGCAUCACCCCCCUGAGUAAAACCUCUCCCUCUCAGCUCCUCUCCACAGCUGGGGAAGGCGAGGAAGAAGCUUCCUUCUUGGGCUGUGGGAACUGGGGAGGAGGUUCCAUCCCACUUCAUCCCUGAAAUAUGUUCCUGCCCUGGGUGUCUGUUCUUACACUGCUUCGGAUUCUGGAAGGGACUAAUGGAGAGUCAGUGACACAGCCUGAGGACGGAGUGACAGUAUCCCAAGGGAAACCAGCGCUGCUGAAAUGCAUCUAUAAUACCACCUUGAUUCCCACGCUCUGGUGGUACGAGCAGUACCCAGAUGAAGCCCCUCGCCUCUUGCUGGCACAAUAUGAAGCAUCGGAUGAGGAGGAGAGCAGGAGCAGGCGAGGGUUCUCCGCCACACCCGACAAACAGGGGAAGACUUUCCACUUGAAGAAAAACUCAAGUGAACUUCGCGACUCCGCCGUCUACUACUGCGCCAUGAGCGACACAGUGAUCACACCCAGCAGGGUCGCUGCACGAAAACCCGCUGGGGGAAGAGGAGGCGGCACUGAAGAUGUGUGGGUUUGA